rnacentral:sRNA from 1 species
AAUUAAAACCAUAAAUAAAACUAUUCACUUGCGUUUGCGGGUGGCAGAGGGAGAACCAAUCAAUCCCUAAGUCUGGUGCUUUGCUUCAUUCUCUUGUUCUUGGGCUAUUCACUUAAUUCACAUGAAU